UACGGAGGAUGCGAGCGUUAUCCGGAUUUAUUGGGUUUAAAGGGUGCGUAGGCGGACUGUCAAGUCAGCGGUAAAAUUGAGAGGCUCAACCUCUUGCCGCCGUUGAAACUGGUGGUCUUGAGUGGAUGAGAAGUACGCGGAAUGCGUGGUGUAGCGGUGAAAUGCAUAGAUAUCACGCAGAACUCCGAUUGCGAAGGCAGCGUACCGGCAUCCAACUGACGCUGAGGCACGAAAGCGUGGGGAUCAAACAGG
rnacentral:rRNA from 1 species